ACCAGGACACAUCCUUCUACCAGCACCAAAUGGUAACAACUCAAAAUCAUGUCCUUUUACAUCUAUAUCUUUACCAAGAAACCUCUCAGGCAUAAAUUCAUAUGGAUUCUCCCAAACCUCAGAAUCUCUUGCAAUUGUCCAAGUAUUGACAAGAACUAUAGUCCCUUUGGGAAUAUCGUAACCAUCAACUUUGCAAUCCUCUCUAGCUUCUCGUGGCACUAAAAAUGGUGCCACGGGAUGUAGCCUCAUUGUUUCUUUAGCAAUUGCGUAAACAUAAGGUAAAUUCGCAAUGUCUUUCUCUUCAACCCAUCUAUCUUUUCCUAUCACUCUAUCUAGCUCCUCGGUUGCUUUCUUGAAGAUCUCUGGUUUUCUAACCAGCUCGGAGAUUGCCCAUUCUACUGUUACUGCGGAGCUCUCCGUCCCUCCGGCAAUUAAGUCCUGAGGAAAAAAAAUACAUAACAAAUAAGUUAGCACAUGAAAAAAUUUAAAUCGUUAAAAUGUGUCAGGUCGGACCAACCCAUUUAACAAGAGCAAAAUUUAGAGUUGUAUAUGCUAGUAAUUUUCGUCUGUCUUCUAAAACUAAUUUGUGUAUCUCUUAAAUCGAUGGAUUCAUUGAGCUAGCACAACAAAACAUACUUAAUUAGGUUAAACUUGGCACCACUUGUAUAAUUAGUAAAUAAAAAAUAUACAGACAUAAGGGUAACAAAUGUGGCAAGAUAAGAGCAAGUUAAUUUAGUUAGCCCCACGAAUACAAUAUAUUGAAUAAAUAAGUGAUAUUUGGAGCUAUCAAGCAAAACUGGAAUUGCGUUAAACAGUUAAUCUCUAAAUUAUGGUUUGGAUUUUUGUUUUAGAAAUAUGACUUUUCAACUUCCCAUCAUUUCCACGAAGAUGCAAGCAUCAAUUGGACCACCCACCCAUGCACUAAGGAUAAUAAUUUCUAUUUUGAAAAAUUGACAUGAUAUUUAUUUAAUACUUAAUAGUAUUAUUUAGGUGGAUUGUCUAAUCAUUGAAAAAAGUAAUUUCAUAAUUAAACAAAGGAGUAUUCUCAAUCAUAAACGUAACCACCUAAAAGAAAAUACCACACCAAAAAAGAACUAAAGAAAAUAAAAGAUUCAAUCACUUCAUACCUGAGUAAAAGCUUUGACUCCAUGCCUCUCCAGUUUGACUUCAAGAUUAGGAUCCUCAGCAAGCUGCAAAAGUACAUCCACCAUAUCUUUAGCAACAUAAUCCUUCACAUUUUUCCUUCUUUCAAUGUGUUCUUCCAAUACAUGUUCCAUAAACCUAUCAAACUUUUUACUCAAAGUCUUCAUCCUCUUCACAUAACCUUGCAAGUCUAAGAAAUGAAUCCAAGGAAUAAAAUCCCCAAUAUUGAGAAUUCCAUUAAGUAAAAACAACUCAUCCAACAUCUUCUUAAACUCAUCAGGGGAAAUAACUGCAUUAUCAGUCUUUUCCAAGUACUUUUUCCCUAGCACCAUUCGACUUAUAACAUUUAGACUCAAAGUUGAAAGAUGGUCUUUCACCAAAAUUGUUUUGUUUUUUGAAUUGAAAAGUUUAUGCAAAAAAUCAUGCAUCUCUUGUUUUCUUAUGUACUCGUAAGACUCGAGGCGUUUUGCACUAAACAACUCCAAUAGACACAUUCUACGAGCUUGACGCCAAUAUGGACCAUAUUGAGACCAAGUUAUGUCUGAAUAGUUAUAUGUUGUGUAUUUUCCAGCCGACAAUUUGGGCCGGCCGGCAAGAGUAGCAUCAUGGGUUUUGAGGAAUGAUUUGGCUAGUUCUACGGUGGCGCCCACAAUGACGGGUUUCGAGCCGAAAUAUAGAUGCAUGAUGGGUCCAUAUUUUUGAGUGAGGCCAUGGAGGGAUUGAUGUGGGAGGGAUCCGAUAAGGUUGAGAUUUCCAAUUAUAGGCCAUGGUUUUGGGCCUGGUGGUAGAUUGUAUUUGUGGCGGCGGAGGCGGCGGCUGAAGAGGAGGAGGAUGACAAAUGUUGCAAACAAUGUGACCCAACUAGGAAGUUCCAAUAAUUGCACUGGCUCCAUAAUUGGUCGAUUUUGUGACUUUCUUUUGGUGUGAAAUUAGAGAGGGUUAUGUGAGUGAGUUUGAAGGGUGUGUGUGGGUCAUUAUUUAUAUGCAUGUGAUAGUGAGAAAGCAAUAGCUCGAGGACCCACAUGAGGUUCAACAAACUUUCCAUCAAUACACAUGUUUCUUGGUGAUCGGGCAUGUAUAAGGGACUAUUUUUCCACUCACAUGAAUCAAAUAAUACUACUCUAAUCAAUAAACAAAGCUUAACGAAGACUCCAUUCAUACAUAUAAAGUUGUUUUUAUUCGAACUCAUAUUUUUCGGAACGACUCCUUGUUAACAAAAGUUUAUUAAACAACAAUAUUUACUUAAUUAUCUCCAAAUAUUUUUGCCAACAAUCUCCAAAUGUUUUUAUAGGCAAAAUUCAAAUAUAUGUGUUAGUGAAACUCAAUGUUCAAAUUAAGGAAAUUAAAAGUAGACAUGACAACAUGAACCACACUCGCUUGAACCCAUUUGAGUUAGUCUCGACUUUGAUGGAAAAUCCUCCCUUUAAUUGGGCGAGGGUGUGGGAUUUAUCUAUUAUUCUAAAUUAGGGUUAUGAUGUUGAUAUCUUCUUCGGAGCUGUCUCAUUAGUAAAAAGUAUUUUUUCAGAUACAUAUAUUUAUUCAUUUUAUUUAAUAUUUAUUUAAUUAUAUAUUGUAAAUUUUAAUUUCUUCUUGAUAGAAAAUAUAAUUUUAAUAUAAUUUUAUUGUAUAUAUCUAUGUCAGGAAUGCAGUGGUAGAGGGAGGAGUGGCCCCUAAGUUCUAUGGCCACCAUCAUUUAUUUUUGAGAGGACCACCAUAAAAUUUUAAAUUUUACUUUUAACACUCAAGAUAGAUAAACUAUAAAACAUUAUGAGCAUGUAACUUUAAAAGUCCCAAUGGUGCAAUUCAACAAGAGUAUGUUGCCACAUUGCCACCUGUCAAACAAUUAUUUCAGGAAGUAACAAUGCCGCCACAUUGUCGAUCUUUUGUUGAACUCUAGUGUCCUUAAGCUUCAUGUAUUGUUAUAAAAUUAUUUACUUAAACGUAGAAAACAUACAUCAUGUCCACUAACUUAUUCUGAUAAAUAUAAAUUAAUUAGGUAUAACUAACCCAUUCAACCUUAUUUUUACAAUAGUAACUUAUAUUAAAUUUAAGGUCAUCUUGUCCGUUUGCAAGCAGGAUCCUGGCAAAUCGAUAAAACUUUAUUUGUUAAAACAAGAAUAAGUGGGCCCAUCUAAAAUAAUUGAAGAGUAAGUGGAAGACAAUUGACCUGUAUAUUUUGAUCUUUCAAAAAUAAUUUCGAGUUGCCAAACUAAAAUGGACUCACUGCCUAUUGUUUCUUGGAUUGUUGCCAUUGCAAUUUCACAGAAAUUUCAAUAUUGAUUUAUUGACUUAGAAUUUGCAAAGUAGUUUAUUCCAUUGACCUUGACUCUUGACUCUUGAGUCUACAUUCACAUAGUGUAACGGUGUUAUUUCUUGUUCAUACUCGGCGGUCUCAUAAACUUUGUCAUGUUAGGUUGUGUAUAACCCUAACUAAUUACAGUCUCUAAUAUACUAUUUUUUAUUAUGAAUAGCCAAAACUAUGAUUAGAUAAUGCAAAAUAUAGAAGAAUAUAGAUAAAAUAGACAAGAAAUAAGAAUAAAAUAUUUGCUUUAUACUCCUUAAGUCCGGUGUCUCUUUACAAUGCAAUGAGUCCUAUUUUUAAGACAUAAACCUUAUAGGUUACAAGUAAGUGAAAAAUCACAUUGAAGACAAUUAACGAUUAAUAGGUCAUCCACUCAUGAAAAUUCUUGAUCAUACUAGUGGAAGACUAAAGAAAACGGGCAUCCACAAAUACAUAUGUUUAAAACACACCCCUUCAAUGAAACCUGGUACAUACAUAGUACGGGUGUGAGUAAGAUAUGUAUGUUUAAAUAUGUAUAAAAUUUAAAAUUCAAGAUACGAUACACCUAAGAAACAUUAAUGAAUUUUUUAUCUUAAAAUUUAUAUGCAUGUAAAAUAUUUGAAAGAAAUAAGCAUCGAUUAAUCUUCAUUAAUAUAUAAUUAUAAAAUUACAAAUUAUAAAGCGAAACUCAUCAACUUUGCUUUUAACUACCAAAUGUGGUGGCUCAAUCUCUUUUAUGUUUGUGAUUGUUUCUUUGCUUUCUUGUUGGUGAUUUUCACCUAUUCUGAUGUAACAUUACUUUUUCUUUGUUUCUCUCUAGCACUCCUUGUGCAAAGAAAGUAAAGUCAUUUAGUUAUAUGUAAUUCUAUUAUAGCUUCUUAAAAAAAAGGGUAAUUUAAGUUUUUGGUCCCUAUAAAUAUCUGCAGUUUUGUUUUUAAUCCCUAUAAAAAUAAAUCACACUUUUUUAGUCCCUACAACAUUUUCCGUUAGUGUUUUUAGUCCCUGUUAAAUUAAAAUUUGUUUAAUUAUGCUUUAAAUUUUAAAUUUUUUAAUGUUUUUUUACAUAGUUGUUUAAAACAUUAUACAAGGUUCCGCCACAAUAAAUUAGCUCAAAAUUUUAUUUUUAGGUUCAAAUUUUUGUUAGUUUUAUCUUGAAUUUUUGGCGUUUUAAAAAAAUUAUAUUUAAUUUAUUACAUGUUAAAAAAUUCUAAUUUUUUAUAAAAGAGAUUAUUAUAAUGUUCUUAACAUGUCUGUUAAAAAUCAUUUAAAAAUAUAAAAGUUUAAGUAUAAUUAAACAAAUUUCAAUUUAACAGGAACCAACACAUACUUUUAGUCCUUGUAAAAUUAAAAUUUGCUUAAUUGUGCUUAAACUUUUAAAUUUGUAACAUAUAUUUUUCACAUACUUACUUAGAAUAUUAUACAAAGUUUCUCCGCAAAAAAGUAACUUAAAAUUUUAUUAUUAGGUCCAAAUUUUCAUUAAUAUAAUCUUGAAAAUUUGGCUUUUAGAAAAAGGCUAAAAUAUGGUUUUGGUCCCUGCAAAUAUGUCUCGUUUUGGUUUUAGUCCCUGCAAAAAAAGAUUGUUGUUUUUAGUCCCUGCAAAUAUGCCUCAUUUUGGUUUUGGUCCCUGGCUCCACUUUUGUGAUGAUUUGCACACGUGGCACAUGAUGACUGAACCCAUUUAUUAGAGAAAUAGUCUCUGCAAAAUCUUUUGAUUUUGAAAAAGGUCCCUGCAAAAUAUUUUGUUUUUGGAAAUAGGCAGGGACUAUUUCCAAAGACAAAAUAUUUUGCAGGGACCAAAAACAACAAAUUUUUUUUACAGGGACUAAAACCAAAACGAGGCAUAUUUGCAGUGACCAAAACCAUAUUUUAGCCUUAGAAAAAUUUAUAUUUAAUUCAUUACAUGUUAAAAAACUAAUUUGUUUUACAAAAGAGUGUCUUACGAUGUUAUGAACAUGUUUGUAAAAAAUCUUUCAAAAAUUUAGAAGUUUAAGCAUAAUUAAACAAAUUUUAAUUUAACAGGGACUAAAAACACUAACAGAAAAUUUUGUAGGGACUAAAAAGUGUAUUUAUUUUUAUAGGGACUAAAAACAAAACUGCAGAUAUUUAUAGGGAUCAAAAACUUAAUUAAUCCUAUAAGUAUUCGAUAAAAUAUUUUAAAAAUUAAUUUUGAUAUUUCGUAUGCAUGUAUCAGUGAAUAUCCGCAAAGUAUUAAUAUCUAAUAUGGAUAUAUCUCCAUAUUUGAUGUAUUUAGCUUCAUAAAUCUCCCUUAUAUGUCAAUUGCGAAUGUGCAUCGUUAGAAUCUUAAAAAAAAAAAACUCAAUUAAACAAUAAUCUUACUGAAGAAAAAAAAGAGCAGCAUCUACCUCCUCUACAUAAAAACACGUGUCAUUAAAAACCUUACUUGAAAAUUCAAUGAGAAUGUAUGUGUUUCUCCCAAUAUCAACUAUACUGUAAUCUCUUCGAUGACAAAACUGUUAAAAAGACUGUUGUAGUCAGAUGCUUGUAGAGGUUGGUAAUAGUCAGGUUCCUCGACAAGGCACUUUUGAUCAAAACUGUUAAAAAAGAUCAAAGUUUGUACUGUUGAUGGUACGAUGAGACUAGAGCAAAAACAAACAUGUUUCUUGGACCGAACAGUAAAUGGAGUCUGGCAUGACUUUGACAAGUAAUACACCUUCCGUUUUAAAACGAGUAACGUUUAAGAUUUUUAUAUACAAAUUAAGAAAUAUAAUAAUGAUGUUAAAAAAUAUGACAAUUUUACUAAACUAAUACUAUUUACCAUUGGUGCAAGUUUUUGGAAGUAAUGUAUAUUUAAUUAAUUAGAGAGUACAAUUGGAAGUAAAAUAAUAAUUCUACAUUAAAAAGUGUAACUGACAUUCAUUUUAAAAUAAUUUUAUUUCGCUAAAACGAUACUCAUUUUAAAAACUGAGUGAGUGUAAAACAUUUGGAGAGGUGGUUACUAUAAUCGUAGCUUAGUUAGAUGGUUAUAGUGGUUUAAAUUGGAUUAAAUCUUUUAUAGUGGUUUAAAUAUUAAAGAUGGUAGAAUCUCUCUUUUAUAUAGUGGAGAACUUUAGAUAUAACAAUAAUUGAUAGUGAACCAAUGUAAAAAUAUGUUUUCGGUGGCGGAGUCAGAAAAAAAAGUUUGGGUGGGCCACAAAAAUUAUCCGUUGAAAAAUUGUUUAAAGUCUUGCAAAAUAGACAUAUAAUUGAAUUGUUUAAAUUUUUGGGUGGAUCACUACACCACUUUGCGGGAAUUUAGAUUAACCGAAAACUGAUAUAAAAUUUUAUAAAAUCUCGCAAAAUAGACCUAUAAUUGAAUAUUUAAAUUUUUCGGGUGGGUCACUACAUCACUUUUCGGGAAUUUGGAUCAACCGAAAUCUAAAACCGACACAAAAUUGUAUAAAAUCUCGCAAAAUAAACCUAUAAUCGUUGAUUUUUUAAUUUUUCGGAUGGGCCACAACCAUUGUGUUCUUCUUUUCCAUUUCUCUUUUUAUCUUUGUAUUUUUUUUAAUGUCUUUAAAAAUGUUUUUCAUCGAAGUCUUUUAAAUUAAGGAUUAACUGAUAGUUUAAAGAAGAAAAAUAGUCUACACAAUUCAAACUCAUUCAAUGUGUUUUCUAGCACAUUCCCUUCUAUGCAAUAAGGAAUGUCACAUAGUUUUUUUUCUAUCCGUAGUUUCUAAGAAAACAAAUAUAAGAGUACCAAAUGGAUUCCAUCAAAAAACAAAAAACAAGAGAGAACAUAAUAUACUUUUUUUUUAAUAUUACAACUUUUUUUUUUUUGGUGUCCAAGGCUCGAAUCCUGGACCUUACGUAUAUUAUGUAUUGUCCCUUCCAACUGAGUUAAGCUUACGGAGACAAAUAAUAUUACAACUCUGAAAAGGGACUCAUUUUUCUUUGACAAAAUCAAGGGGACUCAUUACUAACUUCAACAUUCAAACACCAAUAUUUUUUAUUCACAGUCAUGCUUGUUUUUUUUCUUGUCAUUAAGUUAAUGACAUUGAACUCACACAAAUCCCAUUAUUCCCAAUCUUAUUAAAGAAAAAUUCUUAGAGGGAGUAAAGAUGAUGAGGAAGUCUAGGCUCCACAACAACUUCUAGUGGUAUUUUCCUAGGAGUAGUCAGCCCAAAAAUCUCCUCCAUAUUCAAAUCCUCUUUCUUCAUAUCAUUAGGUAAUCUCCAAUUAAAUCCAUGCAACAAAUUAGCCAAACUUGAUUGUAUCACCUUAAGACCAAGAGGAUAACCAGGACACAUCCUUCUACCAGUACCAAAUGGCAACAACUCAUAAUCAUGUCCUUUUACAUCUAUAUUAUUACCAAUAAACCUCUCAGGUAUAAACUCAUAUGGAUUGUCCCAAACAUUAGGAUCUCUUCCAAUUGUCCAAGUAUUGACAAGAAUUAGAGUCCCUUUUGGGAUAUCAUAACCAUCAACAUUGCAAUCCUCACUAGCUUCUCUUGGCACUAACAAUGGUGCUGCAGGAUGAAGCCUCAUUGUUUCUUUAGCAAUUGCAAAAACAUAAGGUAAAUUGACAAUGUCUUUCUCUUCAACCCAUCUAUCUCUUCCUAUUACUUUGUCUAGUUCCUCCGUAGCUCUCUUGAUAAUCUCUGGCUUUUUCACAAGCUCGGAGAUUGCCCAUUCUACUGUUACUGUAGAUGUAUCUGUCCCACCUGCUAUUAAGUCCUACGAAAUAGAUAUAUAACAUAUGAUAUUGGUAUAGUCUUGUUUAGAUAAAUAGGUUAAUUGAGCAUCUAUGUAUAUAAGCAUUUAUAAGUGGGGUGCCAUUUAAUUUGGGAAAACACACUUUUUUCCUAUCAUGGGAAAGUUAAACCAAGACCAUAGAUUUAAUACUUUUUAAUUUGGAUGGCUCAUAUUCAUUACCUGUUAACUUUUUGAUGGGUUAUAUAAAACAAAAAUUGUGACCCCACCUCAUAAUUAAAUAACAUUUUCUUUUUUGUAUGUAGUAGUGGGCUUUGGCAAUAAUUUUUGGGCUUGUUAGUAAUGUUUGGGAUCAUACAUAUUAUUAUGUAUAUAAUGAAAAUGUUAACCUUACGUAUAUGGUAUUUAAAUUAGGGAAUAUGUAUUUUUUUUUUUGUUGAUACAAAGAAAAGAAAAUAAUUUUUUUUAUUUGAUUAAUGCUAAAAGGAAUUAUGAACCGAUAAAAAUGAUAGUUUAUUUGUAUGUUUGAAAAAAAACUGAUAAUCGAUUGAUUUUUAAGAAAAUGAUGUGUAAAUAAAAAAAAAACUUGGUGCAUUUUUCUUAAUUAAUAAUGUUAAUUACACAAAAAAGUAAAUCACAAUUUUUUAUUUUGUGGACUAAAUUAAACAGUACACAAUUGUUUUAAAAAAUAUGAGUUUGUUUUAGUCAUUGAACAUAAUAUCUCCUUUUUGUAAUUUGGGACAGGGUUACGGUUUGAAUGAUCAUCUUAGACAAAACCAUUUCGUUUAAGAUUGAGAAGAAUAUUUUUGUAAAUGGUAAUUAAUACAAUAUGGUACUUUUUAGUAACAAAUUAAUUUCAAGAAGAAUAUUUUUGUAAAUGAACGUACCACAUAAUGCCAAUUUUUAGUAACAAAUUAAUUGAGAAGAAUAUUCUUUCAAUCAUGGUUUUUCUUUUAUACAAAAAAUUGUAAAUAUAAUUACUGGUUACAUCGUUGAUUAGGCUGCCGUUAAUAUAAUUGUAAUUUUUGAUAAUCUGUUAAAAUAUAGUCAGUAUUAAUCAAUCAGUUUUGUGGUGUAAUGCGGAAAUGGGGAGGUGCAGUAGUAAGUUUGGAAAGAACAUUAAAAUAAUAAAUUGAGUUUUUUUUGUUUUUUUUUUUUGCAAGUUAAAAACCGACAAGUGUCCUUGGUAAAGAGACUUUCCCAUGGUGGAAAAAAAGUCUUCUUUCUCAAAUUAAAUUGCACCUAUAAGUGGAUAUAUAAAAUAAAGUCAAACUGAUUUCACAUAAACUAUAUAAUGUUAUCAUAAUUAUGGAGUUGUGAAAAUAAGCCCAAAACAACUUAUAAACAUGUCAUAAUUUGUUCUCAUAUAGCUCUUUUAAAAAGUCUCACAUGUGUUUAUAUAAAUAAACUUAAAUAAAUCAAUCCAAAUAGACUUUAAGGUCAAUAUUAUAAAGACCCUAAUUCUAAUAUUUUGAAAGAGCACAAAUUUAUUAAUACAUGAAAUGGUUGAAAAAAUACUAAGAAACUUGUGAAUGCAAUACUUCCCCUGUCCAUAUAACUGUCUUAACAUUUUCCGAAAAAACGGCCUUAUCAUUUAUUAAUUCUUGUAAAAACAGUAAUUUUAAUUGAUGUUUUUCCGCUGUACCUAUCUUUUACAAAUUCCUUUGUACCUUGUACUAUUUCACUUACACAUUAUUUCAUACAGUUUGUGUUUAGGAUAAUGAGAAUGAUUAAUGAACCUGAUUCAAACCGUAACACGAACACUAGAAAAAACCGAAUAAAUAUUAUAGAAAAAUUGUGGGAUCCAUUUAAAAUUUUAGUAAAGUUUACUAUUAAAAUAAAAAUUGAAUGAAUUGCUUCAAAGUUAUGUGCCGAAGUGAACCCACUUAAAACCUAUAAAGGAAAGUCACUAAUGGAAAAUACCCAUAGUGGAAUAGUUAGAGGUUAAUAUACAAUAAAUAAUUAAUAUCAGUAGAAAUGACAAUUAUAUAUGAAACAAAUGAGAUACUUAAAAAACAUAUAAUUAAUAUUUUUUCUAACCUGAGUAAAAGCUUUGACUCCGUGCCUCUCAAGUUUGACUUCAAGACUAGGAUUCUCUGCAAGCUUCAAAAGCACAUCCACCAUAUCUUUAGCAACAUAAUCAUUAACACAUUUCCUUCUUUCAAUGUGUUCCUCCAAUACAUGUUCCAUAAACCAAUCAAACUUCUUACCCAAAGUCUUCAUUCUCUUCACAUAACCUUGCAAGUCUAAGAAAUGAAUCCAAGGAAUAAAAUCCCCAACAUUGAGGACCCCAUUAAGCAAAAACAAUUCAUCUAACAUCUUCUUAAACUCUUCAGGGGAAAUAAUAGCAUUUUCACUCUUCUCCAAAUACUUUUUGCCCAAAACCAUGCGACUUAUAACAUUGAGACUCAAAGUUGAAAGAUGGUCCUUCAACAAAAUUGUUUUGUUUUUUGAAUUAAAUAGUUCGUGCAAGAAAGCAUGUAACUCUUGUUUUCUCAUGUACUCAUAAGACUCAAGGCGUUUUACACUAAACAGUUCUAGCAGACACAUUUUACGAGCUUGUUGCCAAUAUGGGCCAUAUUGGGACCAAGUAAUGUUGGAGUAGUUAUAAGUAGUAUAUUUUCCAGCGGAGAAUUUGGGCCGCCCAGCAAGGACAGCGUCGUUUGUUUUGAGGAAAACUUUGGCUAUUUCUGGGCUCGAUCCCACAAUGACAGGUUUAGAGCCGAACCAUAAAUGCAUGAUGGGUCCAUAUUUUUUAGUGAGCCCGUGGAGGGAUUGAUGUGGAAGUGAUCCAAUAAGAUUGAGAUUUCCUAUUAUGGGCCAUGAUUUUGGGCCAGGUGGUAGAUUGUAUUUACGGCGGUGGAGACGAAGACGGCGGCGGGUAAAGAGAAGAAGGAUGAUAAAUGUUGUAAAAAAAGUAACCCAAUUAGGAAGUGGCAAUAAUUCUACUACCAUUUCUAGUGAGUUUUGUGACUUUGUUUUGGUGUGAGAUUAGAGAGUGACUGUGAUGAAAUUAGAGAGUCAUUUAUUUAUAAUCAUAGUAGAGAAAGCUGUAGAUGAGGAUUACAUGGCCCCGUGAGUAGUGAGGCAAAAUAUCUCCAAUAGAUACACCUCUUUAUAAUCAAAUAUACUUCAUUUUCAAGCUUGUUUAAUUAUUAAACUUUAACGUAUUCAUUUAUUAAAACAAAUGGGUUCAAUCAAUGAGCAAUAAAAUAUACAUUAAUUUCUUAAUUAGGUUUAACUAACCUGUUCAAGCUUUUAUUUUAUUACAACAUGAAAGUUAUCUUGUCGGUUUGCAAACAUUAUCUUGGCAAAUCCAAAAAACUUAGUUGUUAAAAAUCAAGAAUGAGUUGGCUUGUCCAAAAAUAAUAAUUAUUGGAAGGACCACAUUGACCUAUAUAUUCUACUUGGAAGCAGUAGCGUUGCCAGGACCCUAGAUUAAGAGGUUUAAAAUUUUGAACUUUAAAAUUUUAUCUUGAACAUGUAUUUUGCUUUAAUAUUAAUAUCUUAAUAUAUCAAAAUUACAAAUACGUUCAUAAAUAUCUCUUUUAUUCGUCAUUUUAACCAUCAAAUUAGUUUUAGAUAGUCAAUUUUAUCUUAGAAUAUAUUUUGUCAUUGUUCUAUUUAAUCUAUAAAAUUACUAAAAAAAAGAUGCACUAAAGAUGUAUUUGCAAUUUCAAUACUCUUACGAAGUAUGAUAAGAUAAGAGUGUCUCACACAUUUAGGAUCAAAAAAGUUGGUUGUGUAUUUAGAGACAAAAAUAAAAGCUAAAUAUUUAAAGGUAAAUGUAGUAAAAUCAUACUCCCUCCGUCCCAAAUUAUAUGACGUUUUGGGCAUUUCACACAUAUUAAGAAAUGUAAUUAAUAUUGUGUGGGAAAGAGAUAUUAUGAGUUGUUUUACAAAAUUGUCCUCAAUAAAUGAUAUGGGAAAGAUAAAUGAAGGAAUUGAAAGAAGAGAGAGUAAUAAAUAGUUAAGGAUAUAAUAGGAAAAGUAACAUUAAUUUUUCAUUGGUAUUGUAAAGCGACAUACAAUUUGGGACAAAUAUUUUUUCUAAAGUGACAUACAUUUUGGGACGGAGGGAGUAAAAGUUUUUGUGAAAAAUCACCCCUUGUCGUUGGUACGAUAUGCUAGGAUGUUACUCUUACAAUUUUUAUUUGAAUUAUUCGGAAAAUGUUCAAUAAAUAAUUUUGUGUAAUUGUCAUUUGUAAAUAUCAAACAAUAAAUAAAUGAAAUAACAUGAUUCAUACACUGGAAUGAUAGGAGACACCAACAUAAAGCGCCUCCUCAAGAAAAAGAAAAAAGGGAGAUAUUGUUAGAUAGAAAUUUAGAAGGUGUAGGGUUCUUUGACAAAUUUUCAAGGGGUUCAAGUAGUAAUAAAUUGAGAUUAUUGGUUCAAUGUUGAAAUUUUGAGGGUGUGCAAUUGCACCCCUGGAUUAAGUGUGGCUCCGCAAGUGGUUGGGAGGGAAAUUUUAGAGAGUUUUUUGAGGAGGAUUUUGUAGGAUUUGGGUCUAUAUUUUAUUAUAUAUUUUAAAUUUUAAAAAAUUGGAAGACUAAAAUAAUAUAUGAUCACAGGCAGAAAUAUUUUAUAACUUGCUUAAUUUAAAAAAGAAAAACCAAUCCACACGUCCUCCAUUCACCAAAAUCUUCCUCCCAAAUGGGAGUGAAUUCUGUCGAUUGCCCUCCUCAUGUUUCUUUCCACCUUUGAUUUUUUUUUACUUCCUAAAAUCUCUCUUUCUCUCCUUUAAAAUAAAUGAUGGAAAUUUUAAUGGACUUUCAAGUCACAUGAAAUGACUCAUCCCCCUCCCAAACAGACUCCAAUAGUGUGUUUGAUUGUGAGAACAAAUUGAAAAGAGAGAAAGGCGUAAGAAAGAGAGUGUAAAAAAAGAAAGAGCCGAGGAAUAGAGUAAAUUUAAUGUGUGACUUUGUGAAAAUAAAAUUGUAAUGUUAGAUGAAAUUUAAAACAUUGCAAGAAACAUUGUUGGAAAUAUAUUGUAUUAUAGUCUUUAACUCGAUUCUAAUGUUGGAAACAAAAAAUUGUAUUGUUUUGAAAAACCGUCCAAACCAAUCCAAUCCAAACCGCAUUAGUUUGGUUCGAAUUUUAUUUUAAAAGUCAACCGAACCAAACCAAACCGCAUGCAUUUUUAUCAUGCGGUUCAGAUGACUUUUAACCUCAUAACCGAACCAAACCACACAUAAAAAAAUUUCAUCAGCAUUUUUAGUCCUUGUAAAAAAAUUUCGUCAACAUUUUUGGUCCCUAAAAUGCUUAAAAAAAAUGUCACGGAAACUAAAAAAUGAUUUUAUUUUGUAGAGACUAAAAACAAAAUUCUUAUAUUUAUAAAGACCAUUUACUUAAUUAACCUUACAAUUCAAACCCAUUCAUUAUGUUUUCAAGCACCUUCCCUUCUAAGCAAUAAGGAAAAGUCACAUAAGAGUACCAAAUGCAUUCCAUCAAAAAACAAAAAACAAGAGAUAGCAUAAUAUAAUAUACUAUUAUUUAAUAUUACAAACUCUAUAACAACUACAUCCUUCAGUUACUAUUAUAAGCAAAAAUUCAUAUUUUAGGUUCAUUCAAUAAAUGAUGUAUGUGACCUACAUUAUAAAUCACAUACAUCAUUUAUUGAAUGAAUCUAAAAUAUAAAUUUUUGAUGGAAUAUACUAUUGCACUCAUUACUAACCAACUUUCCAACAUCGUAUAUUCUUCAUUAUUACGCUUGCUUUUUUCUUUCUUCUCUUGUCAUGAAGUUAAUAACAUUGAACUCACAAAAAUCCCAUUAUUCCCAAUAUUAUUAGAGAAAAAUACUUAGAGGCAAUAAAGAUGAUACGGAAGUUUAGGCUCCAAAACAACUUCUAAUGGUAUUUUCUUAGGUGUAGUGAGCCCAAAAAUCUCCUCCAUAUUUAAAUCCUCUUUUUUCAUAUCAUUAGGUAAUCUCCAAUUAAAUCCAUGCAACAAGUUAGCCAAACUUGAUUGAACCACCUUAAGACCAAGAGGAUAACCAGGACACAUCCUUCUACCAGCACCUAAUGGCAACAUCUUAUAAUCAUGUCCUUUUAUUAUAUCUAUAUCAUUGUUAAUAAACCUCUCUGGUAUAAAUUCAUAUGGAUUAUCCCAACUAUCAGAAUCUCUUCCAAUUGUCCAAGUAUUGACAAGAAUCAUAGUCCCUUUUGGUAUAUCAUAACCAUCAACAUUGCAAUUCUCAGUAGCUUCUCUUGGCACUAACAUUGGUGUCACAGGAUGAAGCCUCAUUGUUUCUUUAGCAAUUGCAAAAACAUAAGGUAAAUUGACAAUGUCUUUCUCUUCAACCCAUCUAUCUCUCCCUAUUACUCUAUCUAGUUCCUCUGUAGCUCUCUUGAUAAUCUCUGGCCUUUUCACAAGCUCAGAAAUUGCCCAUUCUAUUAUUACAGAAGAGGUAUCUGUCCCAC
rnacentral:lncRNA from 1 species